rnacentral:lncRNA from 1 species
UAUAAUGUGACAUUUAAAGGAUUUUUGUUAUCACCUUGUGGUGAGAAUAUAAUAUAUGUAUUUAUACCUUUUAAUACCUUUAAUGUAAACUUAUAUUCAAGAUAUGAUACAAUACAUUAAUUGAUCAGCGAGAAAAGUUUUCCAGUCAGAAAAAAAAAAUUAAAAUAAAAUUCAAUUUACUCACUUUCAUUUUUAUUUGAGUUUGGAAAAAGUUCGCGAUGCUAUCCUUGUUAAACAAGCGCUAAAAACUGGCCUUAACAUCUUUGAUUUAACAUAAUACAUUCAGUCAACCUGGCCUACCAUUCACUGAUGCAUUUGCCCUUACACUUCUUGGUAGGUGACGGAAAGGACUAUUGGAAAUGCAACCAUAAUGAGGUGUUUGAUAUGUACAAUCAUACAAUUGGUUUAACCGUUCUUUGCGAUAUUGUGUACAUUGAAAACAAAUACAGUUUGGCAAGAUGUUAACUAAAUAAUGGUCAUGACAUGUUUUAAGUUCAUGUAACAAUCUAAAAAAACUCAUCACGACUUAAUAAUCCAGGUGGCUUUGUAAUACCAAAGUAGUCAAACAUAUAAAACUCGUGUACAAUGGAACGAUAAAUGGGCAUCAUAUAUAGAGAAUGAAGCCAUUCACAAUUUUUCUUAAUAAUUUUUCUUGGUAACAGUAACUUUACAAAAUUUGGCUCAAGUUCGAACUUAUUAAUUAUGGGUAUAAGAAGACCAGCUUUACGAUCUCUACACCUUUCUACAGUAUCAUCACUCUGCAAAUUACUUAAAAAAUAACCUAGAGUGAAACGACGAUUACAUGCGGAUACAUCAAUAUCUAAUUCUACACUAGGUUUACUACCAAAAAGCUUUAC